rnacentral:rRNA from 1 species
AUGAACAAGAAGAAAGCUUUCAAUGGGUUUUCGCGGAUGAUGGGAGGCCGUGCCCCAAAAAGAAUACUCACAGACCAAUGCAGGGCUAUGGAGAUGUCGAUCGGUAAGAUUUAUCCAGCUACUGUUCACCGGUGGUGCAGGUGGCAUGUUCUGAAGAAAGCGAAGGAAACCCUGGGACUGCUAUACACGAAGAAGAGCGACUUCCAGGCUGAAUUUCAAAAGGUUGUGAACCACAUGCUAACUCAAGAUGAGUUUGAGGCGGCUUGGGGCUUGUUGUUGGAUAAAUGUAAUCUGAGGAAGCACACGUACAUGACCCAAAUAUAUGAAACCAGGAAAAAGUGGGCACAACCGUACUUCAAGGGUGUGUUUUGCGCAAAAAUAACGAGCACCCAACGCACUGAGAGUGCAAACCAUGUGUUGAAGAGAUGUACAUGCCUCUUGCUAGCCCAAUGCAUGUUUUCGUAG